CCAAAUCCAGAUUCUCCUAAUUUAGCACAAUGGGAGAGGUGUGAUGAUAUGGUUACCUCUUGGAUUUUGAACUCAUUGUUGAAGGAACUUGGGGAUAUUUUGCAGUAUGUCAACAAUGCCAAGGAGCUUUGGGAUGAAUUGGAGGAUGAUACGAUCAGGCUAACGGAGCAAAAUUGUACCAAUUGCAACGUGAGAUUAAUGAGCUUAGCCAGGAAAGCCUUGACAUUACUGGAUACUACACCAAAAUGAAAAAGCUCUGGGAAGAACUUAGCACUUUGGAUACAAAUUCUCAGUGCUCAUGUUUGUGCAUCUGUGGCGGUAAGGCAAAAUUGCACAAGGCUGAGUAAGAUCGGCGACUCAUUCAAUUUUUAAUGGGAUUGAAUGAGGUGUACACAAUAGGCAGGGGUAGUAUUUUGAUGAUGAACCUGUUGACCACUAUGGUUCAAGCUUUCUCUAUUUUAGCCCAAGAGGAGAGACAAAGAGAGGUCAAACCUCAUAACAAGUUCAAUCUAAAGCCUACUUCUCUCCUUGGGAAUGCUACUGGUACUAGCACCAAUUUAAAAAGAAACUAUACCCCAUAAAGAGGCAAUGGGGGUAGUAGACCUCCUAGCAAAUUCCACUUGUUUUGUGACUAUUGUAGGAAGACUGGUCAUACUAAGGACAAGUGUUAAAAGUUACAUGAUUUCCCCUGAAUUUCAAGUUUACAAAAGGAAAAAAUAUCAGAACAACAACUGCUGCUCAUGGUUUUAUUGAAGAGAUGAUGGGAAAGACUUAUGAAAGGGAUAAUGAGAGGUCAAAAUAAAAGAGCAUUGAAAGGAAUGAUGGUGGAUAUAGCCAGGAAAAGAAGAGUCCAGCCAUAACUCAGGAAUAUUUUAACCAACUAGUUGGUUUACUGGAAUAAUUUCAAGUUCAAGUAGGCAAUAAUACUGGAAAUACUGCAAGAGAAGCUGCAAACAACAUUAUGGGCGGAGCUGUGAAUUUUGCAGGUAUUCUAGCAUGCUACUCUUCCAUUACUGAUAUUCGUGAAUUAUCUUGUGAGUGUUAUGAACUAUCUGUUGAUUCAUGGAUCAUAGACUCAGGGGAAACACACCACAUGACCUUUAAUAAGUCACUACUUACAAAUACUAGACCUUUGCCUUAUCCUUUUCUGGUUACCUUACUAAAUGGCUAUAGAGUUAAAGUGACAGAAUUGGUGAUGCUUGUUUGAAUCCUUCACUAACUUUGCAUAAAGUAUUGUAUGUACCUAGUUUCAAGUUCAAUUUGAUUUCAGUUCAUUGCCUAGCUGCAUUCUUCAAAGAAAUUAUUAGUUUCAGUAGUUUUUCUUAUUCAGUGCAAGGCACUUCACUGAAGAGCCCACUGGAGAUUGGUAGAGCACAAAAUGGACUCUACUUCUUAUGCUCACGGUGUCACAAUACACGUUCUAAUUCAUCUUUUACAAAUGGAUCCUCUAAUUCUGUGUUUGUUUUCUCUAGUUUACCUCCUACUCAUUCUAGUAUUUCUAUUAUUAGUGCCGCCACAACACACACAUACUCCACCACUCCACUUGUAAGAUCCAUCUUUUGGAAUAAUAAGACUGUGGCUCUUGAUUCUAAGAAUUCCUCAGUACCUUCUAAUGUGAGUGAUUUUGAGCUCCCAUCUAAUUAUAGUAAGUCAUUCAUGUCAAAUAUGUCCCACAGAAACAAUGUAGAUCACUUGUGGCACAAUAGGCUAGGCCAUGUGCCUUUUAUAAAGAUGAGAAACAUCACUUCAAUCCCUGUAAAUUUCUCACCUAGACAACUUUUUUUAUGUUUUAUAUGCCCUAUGGCCAGACAGACAAGAUUUCCAUUCCCAACAAAGACUACUCCCUCUAGUUCUAAAAAAUUUUAUCUGCUAUACUUGAAUUUAUGGGGACCUUACCAUGAACUAACUCAUGAUAACUACAAGUAUUUCCUAACCAUUGUUGAUGACUACAGUAGGUCAACAUGGACCCAACUUCUCAGUUGUAAAAGUAAUACUCUUCAAGCUCUAAAAGGUUUUGUGUCUCUAGUA
rnacentral:lncRNA from 1 species